UAGGGAAUCUUCGGCAAUGGACGAAAGUCUGACCGAGCAACGCCGCGUGAGUGAAGAAGGUUUUCGGAUCGUAAAACUCUGUUGUUAGAGAAGAACAAGGACGUUAGUAACUGAACGUCCCCUGACGGUAUCUAACCAGAAAGCCACGGCUAACUACGUGCCAGCAGCCGCGGUAAUACGUAGGUGGCAAGCGUUGUCCGGAUUUAUUGGGCGUAAAGCGAGCGCAGGCGGUUUCUUAAGUCUGAUGUGAAAGCCCCCGGCUCAACCGGGGAGGGUCAUUAGAAACUGGGAGGGCUGAGGGCAGAAGAGGAGGGUGGAAUUCCAUGUGUAGCGGUGAAAUGCGUAGAUAUAUGGAGGAACACGAGUGGCGAAGGCGGCUCGCUGGUCUGUAACUGACGCUGAGGCUCGAAAGCGUGGGGAGCAAACAGG
rnacentral:rRNA from 1 species